rnacentral:rRNA from 1 species
UACGAAGGGGGCUAGCGUUGCUCGGAAUCACUGGGCGUAAAGGGUGCGUAGGCCGGGUCUUUUAAGUCAGGGGUGAAAUCCUGGAGCUCAACUCCAGAACUGCCUUUGAUACUGAAGAUCUUGAGUUCGGGAGAGGUGAGUGGAACUGCGAGUGUAGAGGUGAAAUUCGUAGAUAUUCGCAAGAACACCAGUGGCGAAGGCGGA